rnacentral:rRNA from 1 species
GAUGAACGCUGGCGGCGUGCCUAAUACAUGCAAGUCGAGCGAACGGACGAGAAGCUUGCUUCUCUGAUGUUAGCGGCGGACGGGUGAGUAACACGUGGAUAACCUACCUAUAAGACUGGGAUAACUUCGGGAAACCGGAGCUAAUACCGGAUAAUAUUUUGAACCGCAUGGUUCAAAAGUGAAAGACGGUCUUGCUGUCACUUAUAGAUGGAUCCGCGCUGCAUUAGCUAGUUGGUAAGGUAACGGCUUACCAAGGCAACGAUGCAUAGCCGACCUGAGAGGGUGAUCGGCCACAGUGGAAGUGAGACACGGUCGAGACUCCUACGGGAGGCAGCAGUAGGGAAUCUUGCGCAAUGGGCGAGAGCCUGACGGAGCAACGCGGCGUGAGUGCUGAAGGUCUUCGGAUCGUAAGACUCUGUUAUUGGGGAAGAACAGAUGUGUAAGUAACUGUGCACAUCUUGACGGUACCUGAUCAGAAAGCCACGGCUAACUACGUG